CCUUACUCACUGUUGGCUGAGUGUUGGCGAAGCUCAUCCGUUUUAUACAAUUCUGUUUUCCCUAAUAAUCAGCUCUAUAUCAUUGCAGGUGGUUCAAGCAAUUAUUAUAAUAAUACUCGUAUUGGUGCUGAAUAUCAACAAAACUGAAGAGCAAAACAAAUCGAAUAUUGUAAACAACGUGCUGAUGUGCAUUUCAAUAGUGUCUGUCGUUAUCAACAUAAUCAUAAGUGCCUUUGAUAUGAGGAAUGAAGUUUUGAGGAAAUAAAUUUAAGAAUAUAGAGUGCUGCUGCAAAUCAAUAUCAAUCAGGCAGCAAAACACUAAAAGCUUUUUCUGCUGGCCUGACGAAAAUUCAAUUUAAAUCCAAAUCUCAUUGGACUAUCCAUCAAGAGUCGUGUCAUCUCAAAUUCCUUCUGAGUUGCCGUUGCAAUCUACGGCUCUAUGUAACGCCCCGGCAGGGGGCAGCAGGUAUAAUUAAAUUUCUCGCAUCAAGGUACACUUCGAAAGGAAAAAUCUUUGAUCACCAGCAACCAGCAAUCCCGAGCAUAAAACGUGUCCACAUCCAUUUCUGAGCUGAACACCAUGGCAAUGGUCAGAGUCCUUCUGCCCCCCUCUACAUAAAGCCAAGCCAUCCUCAGAGGAGUAUGACCGAGGUCAGGCCGGAUCUCGGAGCUGGCCCAGAUUACAUUAGAAAUUAAUUUGAAUAAAUGAAAAGCUUUUAAAACACUUUGGUGUGAUAAAAAUUUGCUUUUCGUGAUGCUCCGAUAAAAGCGACUACGACGCCAUCAUCAUCCGGCAAUCCGGCAAAAUUCCAAGGACCAACCCCUCAGACGCGGAGGGUGACUUCAACAAGCGACUGGCUGGAAAAUUCCCCCUCAGGUUAAGGUACACACAUACACAACACGUUUUUUGUGUGUAUGGGUGAGGAGUGUUGUUUGUGUGUGCACAGCACUCAAGUGAGGAACUUUCAAAAUCGUCGCCGGAUCUGCUGGAGUGACAUCGCCCGCCAGCCGGGGGCAAAAGGAAGGAAGAAAUUAUCCCCCGGAAGGGACACACAAGCGAAAUUAAGGCGACUUGGGCAUGUACACCACCCAGGGCCGCACGUGUACACCGCGCUGGUACGGUACAGCUUGGGUUUAUGUACCAAGUGUGGAUAACCCGGUACAGGGUUGCCACAUUGGAAACCUUGUAUACAUU